UACAGAGGUCCCAAGCGUUAUCCGGAUUCACUGGGUUUAAAGGGUGCGUAGGUGGGCAGUUAAGUCAGUGGUGAAAUCUCCGGGCUUAACCCGGAAACUGCCAUUGAUACUAUCUGUCUUGAAUAUCGUGGAGGUAAGCGGAAUAUGUCAUGUAGCGGUGAAAUGCUUAGAUAUGACAUAGAACACCAAUUGCGAAGGCAGCUUACUACCCGAAUAUUGACACUGAGGCACGAAAGCGUGGGGAUCAAACAGG
rnacentral:rRNA from 1 species